rnacentral:rRNA from 1 species
UGGCGGCGCGCCUAACACAUGCAAGUCAAACGAGCGAGAGAGAGCUUGCUUUCUCAAGCGAGUGGCAAACGGGUGAGUAAGGCGUGAGGAACCUGCCUCAAAGAGGGGGACAACAGUUGGAAACGACUGCUAAUACCGCAUAAGCCCACGGGUCGGCAUCGACCAGAGGGAAAAGGAGCAAUCCGCUUUGAGAUGGCCUCGCGUCCGAUUAGCUAGUUGGUGAGGUAAUGGCCCACCAAGGCGACGAUCGGUAGCCGGACUGAGAGGUUGAACGGCCACAUUGGGACUGAGACACGGCCCAGACUCCUACGGGAGGCAGCAGUGGGGAAUAUUGCACAAUGGGGGAAACCCUGAUGCAGCGACGCCGCGUGGAGGAAGAAGGUCUUCGGAUUGUAAACUCCUGUUGUUGAGGAAGAUAAUGACGGUACUCAACAAGGAAGUGACGGCUAACUACGUGCCAGCAGCCGCGGUAAAACGUAGGUCACAAGCGUUGUCCGGAAUUACUGGGUGUAAAGGGAGCGCAGGCGGGAAGACAAGUUGGAAGUGAAAUCUAUGGGCUCAACCCAUAAACUGCUUUCAAAACUGUUUUUCUUGAGUAGUGCAGAGGUAGGCGGAAUUCCCGGUGUAGCGGUGGAAUGCGUAGAUAUCGGGAGGAACACCAGUGGCGAAGGCGGCCUACUGGGCACCAACUGACGCUGAGGCUCGAAAGUGUGGGUAGCAAAC